AUUCGUUUACCAACCUCUCAACCCAACAUUUCUACUGAGCUAUUCUAUAUUUAUAUAGAAGCAUUUAUGUUAAAACUAGUAACAUAGAACUUUUCUCUUAUAUGUAAGUGUACAUCAGAUCGAAUACAUCACUGAUAAUUAUUUAGCUUGAACCAACUGUAAUAACACCCUAAGAAAAUCUUACUGAUAACACUAUUAACCUUACACAAGUACAUAAAAGAAAGAUUAUAAGAUAGGAAAGGAACUCGGCAAACACUAGUUCCGCCUGUUUACCAAAAACAUCGCCUCUUGACUACUAUAAGAGGUAACGCCUGCCCAGUGACUAUAUGUUCAACGGCUGCGGUAUUUUAACCGUACAAAGGUAGCGUAAUCACUUGUCUUCUAAAUAAAGACUAGUAUGAACGGCAUCACGAGAACUAAACUGUCUCCCCCAUCCAAUCAGUGAAACUGAUCUCCCCGUGCAGAAGCGGGGCUAAUAACAUAAGACGAGAAGACCCUGUGGAGCUUCAAAAUCAAUAUCAAUUGCCUCGCUUACCCUUUACAUCUGCGCAAAUAUGAUCUUGACUUUUCAGCUGGGGCGCCUAUGGAGAAAACCCACCCUCCAUGAAGAACUUACUACGAGCUACUACACUAAGUAUUGAUAAACUCAACUUAAAUUGAUCCAAUCUAUUGAUCAACGGACCAAGUUACCCCAGGGAUAACAGCGCAAUCCACUUUUAGAGUCCCUAUCGACAAGUGGGCUUACGACCUCGAUGUUGGAUUAGGGCAUCCUAGUGGUGCAACCACUACUAAAGGUUCG
rnacentral:rRNA from 1 species